rnacentral:rRNA from 1 species
AGUGAACGCUGGCGGUAGGCCUAACACAUGCAAGUCGAACGGCAGCACAGUAAGAGCUUGCUCUUACGGGUGGCGAGUGGCGGACGGGUGAGGAAUACAUCGGAAUCUACUUUUUCGUGGGGGAUAACGUAGGGAAACUUACGCUAAUACCGCAUACGACCUACGGGCGAAAGCAGGGGAUCUUCGGACCUUGCGCGAUUGAAUGAGCCGAUGUCGGAUUAGCUAGUUGGCGGGGUAAAGGCCCACCAAGGCGACGAUCCGUAGCUGGUCUGAGAGGAUGAUCAGCCACACUGGAACUGAGACACGGUCCAGACUCCUACGGGAGGCAGCAGUGGGGAAUAUUGGACAAAGGGCGCAAGCCUGAUCCAGCCAUACCGCGUGGGUGAAGAAGGCCUUCGGGUUGUAAAGCCCUUUUGUUGGGAAAGAAAAGCAGCAGGUUAAUACCCCGCUGUUCUGACGGUACCCAAAGAAUAAGCACCGGCUAACUUCGUG